rnacentral:sRNA from 1 species
GGGCGCUGGGCGGGUCCGCGGCGCGGUCGGUCGGCGCCUAUUCUCGGGCUCUUUGGCGGACGAAGCUUCACAAAAGAUGUCUAAGGUGAAUCAGGUCUAGGAAAAUCGACUCUCAUAAACAGCCUAUUCCUAACUGAUCUCUACCCAGAAAGAGUCAUACCUGGAGCAGCAGAAAAAAUUGAAAGAACUGUCCAGAUUGAGGCUUCAACUGUUGAAAUUGAAGAGCGAGGGGUCAAGCUACGCCUGACAGUGGUAGAUACCCCUGGCUAUGGUGACGCUAUCAACUGCAGAGAUUGUUUUAAGACAAUUAUCUCCUAUAUUGAUGAGCAAUUUGAGAGGUACCUGCAUGACGAGAGCGGCUUGAACAGGAGGCACAUCAUUGAUAAUAGGGUGCAUUGUUGCUUUUACUUUAUUUCACCUUUUGGACAUGGACUUAAGCCCUUAGAUGUGGCGUUUAUGAAGGCAAUACACAACAAGGUGAAUAUUGUGCCUGUCAUUGCAAAAGCUGACACUCUCACUCUGAAGGAACGGGAGCGGCUGAAGAAAAGGAUUCUGGAUGAAAUUGAAGAACAUAACAUCAAAAU